rnacentral:rRNA from 1 species
AUGAACGCUGGCGGCGUGCCUAAUACAUGCAAGUCGAGCGAACAGACGAGGAGCUUGCUCCUCUGACGUUAGCGGCGGACGGGUGAGUAACACGUGGAUAACCUACCUCUAAGACUGGGAUAACUUCGGGAAACCGGAGCUAAUACCGGAUAAUAUAUUGAACCGCAUGGUUUAUUUGUGAAAGACGGUUUUGCUGUCACUUAUAGAUGGAUCCGCGCCGCAUUAGCUAGUUGGUAAGGUAACGGCUUACCAAGGCAACGAGGCGUAGCCGACCUGAGAGGGUGAUCGGCCACACUGGAACUGGGACGCGGUCCAGACUCCUACGGUAGGCAGCAGUAGGGAAUCUUCCGCAAUGGGCGAAAGCCUGACGGAGCAACGCCGCGUGAGUGAUGAAGGUCUUCGGAUCGGAAAACACUGUUAUUAGGGAAGAACAAAUGUGUAAGUAACUAUGCACGUCUUGACGGUACCUAAUCAGAAAGCCACGGCUAACUACGUG